CUACCCUACCAUUUAGGAUAAACAUAUAUCCUGAUAUUGACUUGCUAUCAUUCAGAUCAGAUUAAAAACUAAAAUUUGUAUAUCCCUCUAGUUCCAACUCUGAUCCUUCUUCAUAUAUGAGAAAAAUAUCUUUAGUCCUUCUUAGGUACUUUAAAAUAUUUUUUAUAGCUUUUCAAUGAUCCUCCUCUGGAUCAGUCUGAAAUCAACUAGCUAUGCC
rnacentral:lncRNA from 1 species